rnacentral:lncRNA from 1 species
GCCAUUAUAACAAAAAAAAGGGAACUCACAAGAAAAAGAGGCACAGAUUCUACACUACAUCAUCACUGAAAUUUUCCACACUCCAGAGAUGACUCUCCUCCAUCAUCAUACAUAUACGCACAUUCACAGCAACACAUAAGGCGGGAGGGCUCAAUUUUUUUUUUUUUUUCCAUGGAUCCCUGAUUCAUCUUUUACACAGUCACCAUCAUAUAAACACAACACACACUCUCAUAGAUUCUUCUUCUACACACAACUCACACGCAUACACAGUGAUAUCGAUGUAAAGAGGCGAGAUAUCAAUGAAACAGCGAGAAAUUGUGAGAGGAUGGGAGCAAAGCAGUAAAAAAAUAGAACAAGAUAGAUUGAUUCUCGGGUUUUUCCGGCGAGAUUUCUGCCGGAAGUGACGACGGCUCGUCCAAAUAACCCAACCAGUGCCAAAAUCCCCCAGAAAUCUCAUCGUUGUUAUUGAGUUUUAGGUGAAAUCCCGCCGGAAAUAAUAUCCCAGUAGAUCGUUAGUCCUAAACCGGCCAUUCGGGUUGAUUCCGGCGAGUUCUCACCGGAAAUCAUCAGACGGGUUCUCAGCUUCUUGUUGGAAGUUUUGGUUUCAGGUUGUUUUUGUCUAUUUUCCGCGAUUUUUGUUCGAACUGGUGAAAAACAGAGCAAAAGUUGAAAUACCGAGGCUUGGUUUCGUUGUUUGGAUCUGUUUCGGGGUUCAUCGGUUCACGAGGCUUGAAAUCGAUACAAGUUGAUUGAAUAAAAGGAACAUUGAGGUACAACUCUAUCUUUUCUCUCUUUAAUUUUAACGUAAUUGUGAGUAUUUUGUGUGCUUACCAUGUUUGAAUCGUCAUAGUGUAUUGUUUGAUGUUGGAGUUGGAUGUGAAAUCUUGAUUGGUGAAUCACGUAUGAAAUUAGUUUAAUCAUGUUGAGAUUGAAUUCGGGGUGAAAUUGAGAAAUUGACAAAACAGUGAAUUUGGAUUGAUUAAGACUUUGGUUUAAGUAUGAAUAUUGUUGAACACAAUAGUAGCAUGAUUAGACCAUUAAUUGGUAGGCAAAUUCUAGAUUUUGAGGUAAGCAACUCAUAGGAUUCUAAUCAUCAAAUGUGUAAAUGUUUGUGUUGAGUGAUUUUUCCCAUUUUAUCGCUUAAAAAUAUACUCAUUUGGUCGGGAAUGCUCCGAGGAAUUUGUAUUGAUUUAUUCGGGGAAUGCUCCGACAUAUCAUGUAUGUAAAGGAGGUUCGUGAUCAAGGCCCGAGACAUCGGGUAAGGCAUCGGACCGUAGUUUUAGGAUUAGAUUUGAAUAUGUAAUGACCCUUACGGUCAUUUUACUGUAUUUUCAUAUAAUUGUAGUACUAUCUAUCUAUAUAUAUAUCGUGGAUUAUUUAAUUUAAUUUGACAUUUUGCAAAAAUAUAACUUAGUAACCUUCUAAAAUAUUUUCGAUAUUUAUAAAAUUCUUUAAGUCAUGAGAUAUUUAUCUCACUUUAUAAUAAACUUUUAUAAUUUGUUAAUAUUGUAAGCGGAGAUAGUAAUUUUAGAAAAAUAUUAAAAUAUUAUUAUUAUAUAAUAGAGGUUUUGUUAGAAAUAAUUUUCUAUUAAUUAUGAUAUAUUCAAAAUAUUAUAAUUAUUUUAUCAUGAAUUUAUACAAUACCAGAUUAUGUACACAAUGUAGGAAAAAUAAGGCAACCGUUCACGUGGAAAUGAAUGGGUGGACCACUUUUGUAAUCAUCCAAUUUAAUUGCCAUGUGUUACUCCUAACGUAGCAUUUCAAUAUUUUAUCAAUCAAUGAAUAAGACAUAAUGGUCCCUCUCUCUUUAUUAUAUAUAUAUUUGGGCUUUCCAUUUUUGGAGAGAAAUUUUAGAAAGCAAAGUGUAUGUUAUUACCAGUUCCCUUUCGCCUUUUUUUUUUUUAUGUGCUAAACACAUAGCUAUAAUAUUUUUCUAAAAGAAGUUUUGGCGGAUGUACUUGUUCUUUUAAUCAAUUAUCUUCUGCAAGUAAUUUGAGAUUGGGUUUUUCGGAGGCUUUUUGGAAGAAUUAUAGCUUUGGCGUUCAGGUAGGUUAGGUUUACCCUAUUUUUAGAUUGAGCUUACUUACUGAAAAUCUUAACUAUUAUGUUAGCUUUGGAUAAAUCCUUGUAGAUGCGUAUUUUUGAUACAUAUAAAUUGUCUUAUUUAUUCGAAUUAGGGCCCCGUUUUAGUAAAUUUUUGGAAAACUUAUCUCUUAAUAUAAUGUAACAUGUAUCACUUUGGGACGUAAAUAUACUUUUUAUUUGAAAGUAUAGUUGUAUACAUAUAUAUAUAUUUGCUUCUCUUCAUCAUCCUCCAAUAUACCUUUAGAAAUGGUUAUAUGAAACGUGUAUGCAUAUAUAAUUAUUUGAAAAGCAUAUAUGUAUAAGAGUAUAUAUUAAGCAUAUGAUAAUAUAGACAUAUAGUAUAUUUAUUAAAUUACAAAACCUUGAAUUUAUCCCUUUUUAAGAUUAAAGAAUGAUUGUUUAGACAUUGUUAUGAUAUGGUAUGAAUUUUAUUAUUUUCGGUGGUUAUGGUUACUAUGAGUUCCGGUUCGAGUCCGGCAAAUGAUUUUUAUGGUUACUAUGAGUUCCAAUUUGAGUCUGGCAAAUUAUUAUUAUGGUUACUAUGAGUUUCGGUUCGAGUCUGGCAAAUGAUUAUUAUGGUUACUAUGAGUUUCGGUUCGAGUCCGGCAUCUGCUUAUGAGUUCUAUAUAUAUGGCCUCUCGUUAUUACCCACUGGUGCCGGUUCAAGUCCUGUGCACAUCUGGAAAACUAUUAUGAUUUAUGGUGAUCAGCGCAGUUAUAGACUAUUUAUGUUUAUUUUCAUUACUUGUGUGUCCCACCGGCUUAUGGGGGUACGGAUGGUUUAAUUGUCUUCUUUAGUGUGCCUAGCGGGCUUAUGGGGGCCCAGCUAGGUUAUGUUUGAUUUAUCUAUUAUUACUGCAUUAUUAUUUUUUGGUAUCGCAUAAGUUUAUUCCUUUACAGCCAUUGCAUAGCUUGGUAGCUGUUUACCUUUCCAUUCCUAUCUACUAAUGACUCAGAUUACGCCCUCGCAUUGUAGUUAUACCUUUUCUGUAUUACGCUCAGUCGGGCGAUGAUGCCUACUGAGUACCCGUAAGUUUUGGUACUCAUACUACACUUCUGCAUCUUUUUCUGAUGCAGCUCAGGGUAAUAGCAGUCGACGUUAACGUGGUUCCUACCUUCCAUCAUUGAUUUAGAGCAGGGUGAUCUUAUUGUCGUCUGAGGCUGAUCCUCUUCUAUCUAUUCCAGUUAGUCUUUUGUUCUCGAGACUGCUUGUGUAUAUUGUGUACAUUUUAUAUUUUUGUCUAGUACUCUAGGUACCUUUUAGUAAUGGCUCUAGUACUGACCUUAUCAGGUCUUGGGAGGGAUUCAUUGUAAGUUGAUCCUUUUUCCUCAUCUCGUUUUGAUAUAAUAUAUAUGCUCCUUUCUUAGUUUUUACUUAUUAUUAUUAUACAUAAUCCUUUAUUUGGUCUCUGCCUGUUAGCCCGUUACUUAUAAUUUCGGACUAUGGCUUGACUUGCCUACUUGUGGGUUAAAGUAGGCGCCAUCAUUACUUGAGAAAUCGGGUCGUGACAGAUUGGUAUCAAAGCAUAGGUCUUACUGGUAUUGUUAGUACUGGAGCUGAUGUUUAGUUGAGUCUUGCGGAUCGGUACGGAGACGUCUGUAUCUUAUCCUCGGGAUGCUACCGAGCAUUUUUAGGAAAAAAAAUCUCAUUAUUGAUCCAUUUUGUGCAUUAAGUCUGGGUUGGUUGUAAUCUUCUUUCAUUGGCUCACUGUUUACACAGAUGGCUAGGACGCGAGGUUCAAGAGCGGGCGGUCGGGGCCCGGGGCACGCUUCUAGAGUUCUAGCUUGGGGUUGAAGUCGACCCAGAUAUCAGGGGCAGGGUAGAGCAGCACAGGGUGGUGUUGACUUAGUGGCACAGCCUGCGGCAGCGAUGCUUAGGGUAGAGAUUUUGCUAGCACCAGUAGUCCCACAACCGGUAGUAGCCCCGCCAGUUAUAUCUUCGGAGGGGCAAAAAAUAUUAGGCCAAUUUUUGAAAUUGACUCCACCCAGAUUUACCAGGACACAAGGAGAGGAUGCUAUGGAGUUUCUAUCCAGUUGUGAGGAGCGGUUGCGGAAUUUGGGUUUGGUUGAAGCACGGGGAGUAGACUUUGUUUCUUAUCAGUUCGACACAGCAGUGAGGAGGUGGUGGAGUGGUUAGCUUGAUUCUAGGCCAGCUGGAUCUCCCAGUGACUUGGACCCAGUUCUCCGAGGCUUUCUUAGGGAAGUAUAUGCCUCGUAGCAUGCGUGAGCGUCUCCGAGAUGAGUUUACAGCUUGGGACAGGGUUCUAUGAUCGUGUCUGAGUAUGAAGUGAUAUUCCAUGAGUUAGCCAGACACGCCACUAUGAUUCUGGAAACGGAGUACGAACGAAUUUGAUGCUUUGUUAGGGGAUUGAGGUUGUCACUUCGUAGGGUUACACAGAGUUUGGUGACUUUAGGGAAGUCUUUUUUGGAGAUAUCCGAUCAUGUUUAUUCCAUAGAGGAGAUGGAUCGUGAGGCUUAAGAGGGCAGCGAUAAGAGACCACGUUGCCAGGGCAGUUAUAGCGGUUCUCAGUUCUCAGGCCGAGGAUUUCAUGGUAGAUACCCCCAUCAACAGCCUUUACAGCAUCAGGGUCAGCCUAGUCGGCCAGUUCAGGCAUCACUUCAGAUAUCCGACCUGGGCUCAGCCCGGCUAUAAUAGUUCCAGUGGUCAGAGUAGCAGCCAGCCAUAGAAGGUUAUUCAGCCAGGAUUGUCGAGUAAAGGUGGUCAUUUUGGAUUCGCCGGACCUUCUAGACAGAGCAGGGUGCCCAGGAUAUGUUAUGACUGCGGGAUUAUUGGUCACUUUGCUCGUGAGUGCCCUCGGCGUAGGAUGAUUGGGCCUUCAGUUCUGAAUGUGCAGCCGAUUAGAUCAGUGUCGCCGUUGGGUAAAGGUAGUGUACAGGGUCGUGGAGGUGAUCCCCAGGGUUGUAGAGGUGGUCCACAGGGAGGUAGGGCAAGUGGUUGGGCAGGUACCCAGUCCAGUAGUGGACAGGGUCAUUUAUAUGCCGUACCAGGUAGACCAGAGGCUGAGGCUUCAGAUGCCAUGAUCACAAGUACGAUAUUCGUAUCCCAUCAGACAGCUUCUGUUUUGUUUGAUCCCGGUUCCACACUUUCAUAUAUUUUUGCUUAUUUUGCAUCGCGACUGGGUUUAUGUUCGGAGUCUUUAUCUGUGCCAUUACGUGUGGCUACCCCACUAGGUGAUUCUUUAGUAGUGGAUCGGGUAUAUAGAUCUUGUUUGGUGACUAUUCAGGAGUUUGAUACUCAUAUUGACCUCAUUGUCCUAGAUAUAGUAGAUUUUGACGUGAUUCUAAGCAUGAAUUAGUUGUCUCCUUACCAUGCGAUCUUGAAUUGUUUUGCUAAAAUCGUUACUUUAGAUUUGCCUGGCAUAACCCCAGUUGUGUGGCAGGGUUCCGUUAGCCGUGCACCGAUGGGGAUUAUUUGGUACAUUCGGGAUAGGAGACUGAUAUCGAAGGGUUGUGAGUCUUUUCUUGCAUAUAUCAGGGAUGUUAGUGUUGAGAGUUCCCCGCUUGACUCCGUCCCUGUUGUUCGUGAGUUUUUUGAUAUAUUUCCGACCGACCUACCUGGCUUUCCUCUUGAGCGUGAUGUAGAGUUUAUUAUUGACCUCGAGCCAGGCACCCAACCUAUUUCUAUUGCUCCAUAUUGUAUGGCUCCUGCUGAGUUGAAGGAGCUGAAUAGUCAGCUUGAGGAUCUUCUAGGUAAGAGUUUUAUCAGACCGAGUGUAUCACCUUAGGGUGCUCCAGUUCUGUUUGUAAAGAAAAAGGAUGGAUCCUUACGUAUGUGUAUCGAUUACAGGCAGUUGAAUAAGGUGACGGUGAAAAAUAAGUAUCCUAUGCCUCGCAUUGAUGAUUUGUUUGAUCAGCUUCAGGGAGCGGCGGUGUUUUCUAAAAUUGAUUCGAGGUCUGGUUACCAUCAGUUGAGAGUUAGGGCUGCGGACAUCCCUAAGACAGCCUUCAGGACUCGUUAUGGUCAUUAUGAGUUCUUGGUGAUGUCUUUUAGGUUGACAAAUGCUCUAACAGCUUUUAUGAAUCUGAUGAAUCUCGUGUUCAGGCCAUAUUUGGACUCCUUCGUGAUAGUAUUUAUUGAUGACAUUCUUGUAUAUUUGAGGAGUAAGGAGAAGCACGAGCAACAUUUGAGGACUGUGCUCCACACUUUGAGAGGCCACAGGCUUUAAGCCAAGUUCUCAAAAUAUGAGUGUUGGCUUGAGUCUGUAGCUUUCUUGGGGCACGUAGUGUCCAAGGACGGUAUUAUGGUGGACCCAGCCAAGAUUGAGGCUAUUCGUAGUUGGGCCAGGCCUACAUCACUCUUCGAGGUUCGUAGCUUUAUUGGGUUGGCAGGUUACUACAGGCAGUUCAUUAAAGGUUUUUCUUCUAUUGCAUCCCCUAUGACUAGAUUGACCAGAAAGGAUGUUCCGUUUCAGUGGUCUGCAAGUUGUGAGGCGAGCUUUAUGAAGCUUAAGGAAUUACUUACUUUAGCUCCUAUUCUGACUCUUCUUGUUGAGGGCGGGGAUUUUACUGUCUAUUGUGAUGCGUCUGGUGUUGGUGUGGGGUGUGUUCUGAUGCAGCGUGGCCGUGUAAUUGCAUAUGCAUCGAGACAGUUGAAGGUGCAUGAGCGAAACUAUCUCACUCAUGACUUAGAGUUGGCAGCGGUAGUAUUUGCGCUUAGGAUUUGGAGGCAUUACUUGUAUGGGGUUCGCUGUGAGAUAUUUACUGAUCACCGUAGUCUGCAGUAUAUUAUGACCUAGAAGGAGCUUAAUUUGAGGCAGCGUAGGUGGAUUACCUCGUACUUUGCAUGGUUUUGACAGUAUUGGCUUAUUGUGGAUCGAUUGACCAAGUCUGCUCAUUUUAUCCUUGUUCGAGUUUCCUACAGUGCCAAGAGGUUAGCUCGUAGUUAUAUCCAGGAGGUGGUUUGCCUACAUGGGGUCCCUGUGUCCAUUAUCUCUGACCGAGGCUCUCAAUUUACUUCUAGCUUUUGGAGGACAUUUCAGGAGGAGUUGGGAAGCUAGGUUGACCUUAGCACAGCCUUUCAUCCCCAGACGGAUGGACAAUCAGAGUGGACUAUCCAGGUCUUAGAAGAUAUGCUACGCGCUUGUGUGUUGGAUUUUAGAGGUCAGUGGGACCUGUUUCUACCUUUGGCAGAGUUUGCAUAUAAUAAUAGCUUUCACGCGAGUAUUUAGAUGGCCCCAUUUAAGGCAUUGUAUGGUAGGCGAUGUCGAUCUCCUAUUGGUUGGUUCGAGACUUCUGAGGCUAGGCCUCGUGGCACAGAUUUGCUUCAUGAUUCGUUGGAUCGUGUUUGAGUGAUUCAGGACAGGCUACGAGCAGCUCAGAGCAGACAGAGGUGUUAUGCUGAUCGCAGACGUCGUCUAUUGAGUUUUAGAGUUGGUGAUAAGGUCUUCUUACGAGUAUCGCCCAUGAAGGGUGUGAUGAGGUUUGGAAGAAGGGGCAAGCUUAGCCCUAGAUAUAUCAAACCUUUUGAGAUCCUACAGAGAGUUGGGGAAAUAGCUUCUGUAUUGGCAUUGCCACCUGCCUUCUUAGCCAUUCACCCGAUGUUUCAUGUAUCUAUGUUACGACAGUAUAUUCCAGAUGAGUCACGUGUACUUCAGUAGGACUCGGUUCAGUUGGACGAUGAAUUGGCAUUUGUAGAGGAGCCAAUAUCUAUUUUGGCGAGGGACGUCAGGCGGUUGCGUUCCAGGGACAUUCCGAUAGUCAAGGUUCAGUAGCGUCACCGUCCAGUUAAGGGGGCUACAUGGGAGAUCGAGAGUGAUAUACGCGCCCAGUAUUCCUACCUGUUUGACCCUUCAGGUAUUUCCUUAUCUUUUACUUUCGCAAACAAAAGUCCUUUUAGUAGUGGAUACUGUAAUGACCCUUACGAUCAUUUUACUGUAUUUUCAUAUAAUUGUAGUACUAUCUAUAUAUAUAUAUAUAUCGUGGAUUAUUUAAUUUAAUUUGGCAUUUUGUAAAAAUAUAACUUAGUACCCUUCUAAAAUAUUUUCGAUAUUUGUAAAAUUUUUUAAGUCACGAGAUAUUUAUCUCACUUUAUAAUAGACUUUUAUAAUUUGUUAAUAUUGUAAGUGGAGAUAGUAAUUUUAAAAAAAUGUUAAAAUACUAUUAUUAUAUAAUAGAGGUUUUGUUAGAAAUAAUUUUCUAUUAAUUAUGAUAUAUUCAAAAUAUUAUAAUUAUUUUACCAUAAAUUUAUACAAUACCCGAUUAUGUACACAAUGUAGGAAAAAUAAGGCAACCGUUUACGUGGAAAUGAAUGGGUGGACCACUUUUGUAAUCAUCCAAUUUAAUUGCCAUGUGUUACUCCUAAUGUCAGCAUUUCAAUAUUUAAUCAAUCAAUGAAUAAGACAUAAUGGUCCCUCUCUCUUUAUUAUAUAUAUAUUUGGGCUUUCCAUUUUUGGAGAGAGAUUUAGAAAGCAAAGUGUAUGUUACUACCAGUUCCCUUUCGCCUUUUUUUUUUAUGUGCUCAACACACAGCUAUAAUAUUUUUCUAAAAGAAGUUUUGGCGGAUGGACUUGUUCUUUUAAUCAAUUAUCUUCUGCAAGUAAUUUGAGAUUGGGUUUUUCGGAGGCUUUUUGGAAGAAUUAUAGCUUUGGCGUUCAGGUAGACUAGGUUUACCUUAUUUUCAGAUUGAGCUUACUUACUGAAAAUCUUAACUAUUAUGUUAGCUUUGGAUAAAUCCUUGUAGAUGCGUAUUUUUGAUACAUAUAAACUAUCUUAUUUAUUCGGAUUAGGGCCCUGUUUUAAUAAAUUUUUGAAAAACUUAUCUCUUAAUAUAAUGUAACAUGUAUCACUUUGGGACGUAAUAUAUAUAUAUAUAUAUAUAUAUAUAUUGCUUCUCUUCAUCAUCCUCCAAUAUACCUUUAGAAAUAGUUAUAUGAAACAUGUAUGCAUAUAUAAUUAUUUGAAAAGCAUAUAUGUAUAAGAGUAUAUAUUAAGCAUAUGAUAAUAUAGAUAUAUAGUAUAUUUAUUAAAUUACAAAACCUUGAAUUUAUUCCUUUUUAAGAUUAAAGGAUGAUUGUUUAGACAUUGACAAUGUUAUGAUAUGGUAUGAAUUUUAUUAUUUUUGGUGAUUAUGGUUACUAUGAGUUCCGGUUCGAGUCCGGCAAAUGAUUAUUAUGGUUACUAUGAGUUUCGGUUCGAGUCCGGCAAAUUAUUAUUAUGGUUACUGUGAGUUCCAGUUCGAGUCCGGUAAAUGAUUAUUAUGGUUACUAUGAGUUUCGGUUCGAGUCCGGCAUCUGAUUAUGAGUUCUAUACAUCUGGCCUCUCGUUAUUACCCAUUGGUGCCGGUUCAAGUCCGGUGCACAUCUGGAAAACUAUGAUGAUUUAUGGUGAUCAAUGCAGUUAUAGACUAUUUAUGUUUAUUUUUAUUACUUGUGUGUCCCACCGGCUUAUGGGGGAUACGGAUGGGUUAAUUGUCUUCUUUAGUGUGCCUAGCGGGCUUAUGGGAGUCCAGUUAGGUUAUGUAGUGUGCCUAGCGGGCUUAUGGGGGCCCAGCUAGGUUAUGUUUGAUUUAUCUAUUAUUACUGCAUUAUUAUUUUUUGGUAUCGCAUAAGUUUAUUCCUUUACAGCCAUUGCAUAGCUUGGUAGCUGUUUACCUUUCCAUUCCUAUCUACUAAUGACUCAGAUUACGCCCUCGCAUUGUAGUUAUACCUUUUCUGUAUUACGCUCAGUCGGGCGAUGAUGCCUACUGAGUACCCGUAAGUUUUGGUACUCAUACUACACUUCUGCAUCUUUUUCUGAUGCAGCUCAGGGUAAUAGCAGUCGACGUUAACGUGGUUCCUACCUUCCAUCAUUGAUUUAGAGCAGGGUGAUCUUAUUGUCGUCUGAGGCUGAUCCUCUUCUAUCUAUUCCAGUUAGUCUUUUGUUCUCGAGACUGCUUGUGUAUAUUGUGUACAUUUUAUAUUUUUGUCUAGUACUCUAGGUACCUUUUAGUAAUGGCUCUAGUACUGACCUUAUCAGGUCUUGGGAGGGAUUCAUUGUAAGUUGAUCCUUUUUCCUCAUCUCGUUUUGAUAUAAUAUAUAUGCUCCUUUCUUAGUUUUUACUUAUUAUUAUUAUACAUAAUCCUUUAUUUGGUCUCUGCCUGUUAGCCCGUUACUUAUAAUUUCGGACUAUGGCUUGACUUGCCUACUUGUGGGUUAAAGUAGGCGCCAUCAUUACUUGAGAAAUCGGGUUGUGAUAGAAUAAGAUUCAUAUUUUCACAUUUUUUCUAGUUUUGAACUGUGUAAUUGGAUUGGACACUAUAUUUUGGAUUUGUUUUGUUUUGUAUGUUUGAUUGAUCGUUUUAUGUGUUUUUUAUGUGAUUUAUACAUUUGUAAUGUCAAAUUAGCCGAUACGCUCAACUAAGCGAUCUUGGUUGAAUCACGGGAUCGAGGAGUGCCUAACUCCUUCUCCUCGUUCAACAGAAUUCCUUAACCGGAAUCUCUGUUUGCAGAUCAGUUUUUAGAGUCAAAUUAUUUUGAAAAGGAUCUUUCAAAGGUGACUUGGCACACUGGAUUAUGUCAAGUUGUGACUCUGAAUAAAAAAUGUAAAUAAUUCUUUUUUCAAAAUAAAUUUUUAAUCUUUUGUCACUUUAAUAAUAAAAACUCUUUUGAACUUAAAAGAUAUCCUUUCGGGUAAAAAACGGAUGUGACAGCGAUAAAACUGUUCUCAUAACUGCUAGGCAAAACUCCUUCAAACAGGCCUAAUUAAGGCUCAUAAUUGAAUUACUAAACUCUUGUUAAGUAUUUUAUCCUUAUUAGAGACAGUACCUAAUAUCAUGAUUAAUGUAGUAAUCCAUGUUUAUGUAUUACUACUUACUAGGGAGAAGCACAAAAAAAAUGUAACUCCUGUCUAUGUAUUACGAACAUCAUCAACAUCUAUUGUUCUGAAUAUGAUGAAGCUGGCUUUUUUGGAAUUUGAUUUCUUUUAUGGUCACUCAACUAAUAAUUUUUAUCUCAGGAAUCAGGAUAUCACUCACUUAAUUUUGUAGUGCAAAAGUUAAGAAGAUGUUUGACCAUGAGAAUUUUUCACUUUUUUUUGGAGUUCAAUUUCGGAAAAUAUGUUUGACCAUAAAUUUCCGAAAAAUUCUGCUUUCACUUUAUUUAAAAAUUCCAAGAACAACAAAAAGUCGUUUUCACGUCAAGUUACUCAUCAAAAUUCAAAAACAACUCUAAUUUAUUUCAUGACCAAACAUUUCUCCAAUUUCCAAAAAAUCAUUUUUCAUGUUUGAAAACAACAACAAUUUUUUUCUAUUUUCACUGGGAAACUUGGCCAAACACCUACUUAUCUCAAAAACUCACUCAACUUUAUUUUGUCUAAAGUGGCCUUUAUAUCUAAACUAGACAUUCAAUUUCGUGCUAGCACAAGUUCAAUAUAUGCUAUUUUUUUCAUCCCAAUUUUGUAAUGUUAAUAGAAUCUAGAGAAUUAUUUUAAGUUAUUAAUUGUUGUAAUUUAUAUGUAAUACUUUAUACAUCAUUUUUCCAAACUAAUUGUGGAAUUUAAAAAAUUCUGCCAAACUAAUUGGAUAUACCUAAUCUUUUAAAAUAGAAGUUAGGCAAAAAAAUAAAAAUACAAUAAUAAGGUCCUUAAUAUAUCUCAAUGUGUAGAAGACUCCCUAGACCCUUUUUUUCAAUUAUAUCACUGUAUAUUUUCCAUACAAAUACAUUUAUACACAAGUAUAGAGUGCCUUUAAUAAAACAUUCAAAACUUUAAGUAGAAAUGUCCAAAUGACAAGCGGAGUUGAAAGCUACAAAUAAUGUCUGUAUAUUUACAAAUAAUUACAAGGUAUUAUACUAAUAAUUACAAGGUGUUACCUUAUUUUUUUUUAUGUUUUGAAAUAGAAAAAUCACUUGCGAUUACAAUUACAAAGUCACUCAACCAAUUAUAUUCAAGUGAUAUUUGUGAUAGAUAUAUUGCCUCAUGAAGAAAUUUCUAAAAGCUAAAUUUUUAAUAAAUAAAAAUCUACCCAUUUGAAUUAACUACUAAAUUAACCUGCUCUACUGAUCGAAUUACUUAAAUUUAAUGAAUUUUAUAUAUAGUGUAAGAGGACCCUUUGAGAGAUUUAUGUAACUAUACAAUCUUAAAAAUCACAUUACAAAUUUUUAUCAUUAUUUUCAAAAUCUGAAGUUAAACAAAUUUGCUUUUUCGUCUAAUUGAUCAAUUCAUAAGACAUUAUUAUAUAAUGUAACAUUAUUAAGUAUAAGACAUUAUUUUAUUUAUAUUCUAUUGUCAUUUUUUAAGUCAACAAAUAUAUAAUAAUUAUAUGGGCAAUGUAGAUUAAUUAGAAUAUCUAAUCAAUUAUCUUAAAUAAAAAUACAAAAAAAUAAAAAUAAAAUCAACGUAUGUUUUAAAAGGGAAUAAAUAUUAGAUCCUGGAUUUAAUGGGGCCUCAUUUAGUUAAUUAAUUUGCAAAAUUUUAUAUUAUGCUAAAAUUGUUAUAAAAUAUGUUAUUUAUGAAACAUUGCAAAAAUUAUGUGUAACACCCCGUACUUUCGGGCUAGAAUUUAGACCGUCGUUCCUAUGCGUAUAGAUCCGAACUAAAUGAUUCCAUGUUAAUAUAUGUGUAGUGAUCACUCCUAUAGUGUGGGAAAACCUUUGAAUAUGAAUUGAAGUCACAAAAAUCCCCUAACUCAAAGACGAAUUAAAAACUUUUCUAUCAAUAAAUUUUAGUGAACGUUUCAACGUGGGUCAAUAUCCAUCGACUAUUACUCCUAGAAUAUGAUGAUUUAGAGGACCUACUAUAUAUUGAAUGAAUGGUCUUCGAGGUAGCUUUCCAACGAUACCAAUUUCGCCUCAAUCCGACACCCGAGAUAAAAGUUAUGACUUUGCAAAGAGGAGUGUGUCGCCUAAGGCUAUUGGAAUUGUUGCGCCAUAGGCAAUGCGACGCCCAACCUAUUUUGGGCGAUGGGCAAUGCACGACACAACCUAGCUUAGGAUAUAGGCAAUUUGUCGCAUGCCCUAUGGCCCAACGACGUAAAUACUUCAUUUUUAAGUCAUUUUAAGGGAAAUCAAGUCUUUUUACAAUCCAAAAUUGUCCCUAAUUCAUCUUCCAAGAACACCAUAAGAGAAAAACAACUUAGGGCUAAACAUUCAAGCUCAAGGGAUCAACUUUUCUGUGAAUUCUUCAUCGAUUAAGGUAAGUACGGCUGUCCUAAAAACUCUAUGGGUAUAAGUUAUAUUUUAGCAAUCUUUAGAAAGUAUGUUAUGAUAUUUAUAACAAGGGUUUGAACAAUUUUUUUGAAUAUCUAAAUCAUGAAACCCUUUUCAAUGAUAGACGUAUUGUUUUGGUCUUGAUGCCUCCCCUUAAAAUUGAUUUUUACUCUUGUAUAUGUAAGUAUGCGUUUUGAGUUUUGCAAAGAUUAAAUUGAGAGCAUGAAUGACGAAACCCCUCUCUUGUUAAAAUAACUCUAGAUUUCACAUAUGAUGGGUUGUUCAAUUACAUAUUUUGAAGCGUGAGAUAAGUGUUUUACUAUUGUUUUGAACUUGAUAUUUAUUAUGAAUUGAAGAGAAGAUGUUUUAUUAUUUAUAAAUAUUUAAUGUGAUAAUUGAAAGAGAUUGCAUGAUUUGUAACGUGAUACUUGACCAUCACGUGUUUGUGAAUUGAAAUUGAGGAUCUUUGCCUAAGUUUUUAUGAGUUUCACUAUACGCAUCCUCAUGUAUGGUUUGAAUGGUUUGGUCAUCUGAACACAAGUUUUUGAAAGAGAAUACUUAACAUGAUUAUGUAUGACUUAGAGAUACGACUUGCAAGUCUUGGUAUGACGAUACUAAAUAGAUGAAUGCCAUAGCAGACUCAGAACAAACUAAAAUACAAUACAAAUUUUACUUAGAUUUUUAGAAUUUGAUUUAAGAAAGAUACAUGUUUAGAACAAACUAAAAAUGGUCUUAAAGAGAGUUAGGUGGUUACCCGAAGAAAUUACGAGUUGAAAGACUCAAUGCUAGAAACCGUGAUUUGCCGACACGGGGUUAUGGUACUAUGCUUUGUGAUCUUGUGUACCUUGAUUCAUGUCAUUCCAAAUUGGUACUAUUGUUAGGAGCCCUUCUUUUUAAUCUUGUGCACUACCAAGACAUGUUGAUUUGAUUAGAGAUUUUGGCACCCUGCUGUGUGAUCUUGUGUAUCCCCCUUAUUGAUACUCCAAUCCUGGAGGCAAACUUGGAUUGGGAGAUUAGCCAUCGAGUCAAGGGUGGAUUCUAUAUAGCCCGUGGAAUUACAGAAUGUAGGGUGUACCACCUAGCUCAGAAGUAUGACAAAGAAUGAGUUAUGAUUUCAAAGAAUUGUUCAAAGUCUUUUAAAGUAUGCCCAUGUGUUUUCAUAUUCUUUAUCUAAAAUAUUUUAUGAAUUGCUCUCACUUAUGAUAGAUAUAGAUACAUUAUUUUUUAUUGCCCUACUACUAGUACAUUUGUAUUGACCCCUAUAUUUCAGGAUUGAAGCUCAGUCCCGGGGUUUCGUUAAGCAGUAGAUUGACUUGACAGAAGUUGCAGCUAGUGAGCCUCCCUUACUUUGGAAGUUCUGAUUACAAAACUUGUCAUGGUUAUAUUAUUUUGAUCCAUGGUCCGACUGAGGCCUUGUCCCAGAGUUCAGACAAAUGUUAUUUUUAUUUAGUAAAGAUUUCACAGACCAGAGUCAUGUACUUUGAAUGUUAUAAACUUCAUUUUGUAUUGUCCAGUUGAAUUUAAAAAGUGACAAUGUUUUCGUUUAUUA